GGGCCGUUAGCUCAGGUGGCAGAGCACCUGACUUUUAAUCAGGGUGUCACAGGUUCGAAUCCUGUACGGCCCACCA
rnacentral:tRNA from 1 species